CUACUAUGUUUUCUAACUAUCGCCCAAUAUCAUUACUCCCAGUAUUGUCAAAAAUCUUAGAAAAAUUUGUCCAUACGCAACUAUGUGAGUAUUACCAACAAUCUAACUAUCUGACCCCUGAUGAAUCAGAUUUUCACCAGAAUCAUUCCACUACAACUGCCCUCUCAAAAGUUUGCAAUGACAUCCAAACUGGCAUGGAACAAGGAGCCCUAACUGGAGCUAUUUUCUUUGUUUUUGCAAAGGCCUUUGACACAGUAGACCAUGACAUUCUACUGCACAAACUAAAAAACUCAGGUAUUGGUGAUCAUCCACUAACCUGGUUUUGAUCAUAUGUAUCGGAUUGCUCACAAUAUGUGUCCAUUUCUGACAGCAACUCCCUUCCUCUCCCAGUCAAACUGUCACAAUGAUCUUUGGAACAGUACCUGAAUUACACAAUUCCCAUCUACCCAUCAAAACAAAAUCAAAUAGCACACUGACCCCAGUCCACUCUUUCAAAUACUUGGGAUGUUGUUAUCUAUCUUUUGGCCUCCACAUAGAAAAACGUGCAUCUAAACUUUAUCCAAAACUAGGUGCCCUGUACAGAAACAAAUCCUGCCUAAGCCCUACAGUAAAGGAAAAGAUUGUACAGCAAAUGCUGAUGCCAAUAAUUGAUUAUUGGGAUGUAGUAAAUGCACCUGCACCGCAAACCAACUUAAUAAACUUCAUACAUUGUAUAACUUGUUCUGCCGCUUUGUGCUACAAUGUAAUUACAUGACCCAUGCUAAAAGAACUAAACUGGCUGUCGCUGGAAUCCAAAUGGAAUUCAGAAAGAGUGUGGUCCUAGGGUACUUGUGUUUAAUAUUCAUACUAUUCAAAUUUUGGGAAUAAACUGUUCCUCAUCUUUCCAGCCUUGUAUUUAAGAGCUUUUCUGGGAAGCUCCCACCCUACCUGAGCAGAAUGCUCGCCCUGGCUGUUCCCAACUCCUAUAACCUCCGAUCCAGUACCAACACUUUAUUUAUUCUACCUCAAUACAAAAAGAAAGCAGCCCGAUCCUACUUUUCCCACAGAGCACCUCAAUUAUGGAACAACAUCCCACACACUUUCAAAUCUUCCCAAGGCCUAAAAUCCUUUAAGAGAUCCUUCUCCACAUAUCUCAAAACAGAAUGCACUUGUCAUGGUUUAUUAUAUAUUUGCUACCUGUUCUAUGUUAAAUUUUGUAUAUAU